rnacentral:rRNA from 2 species
ACUAACAAGGAUUCCCCUAGUAACUGCGAGUGAAGCGGGAAAAGCUCAAAUUUAAAAUCUGAGGGUCUUUAUGGCCUUCCGAGUUGUAAUCUAGAGAAGUGCUAUCCGCGCUGGACCGUGUACAAGUCUCCUGGAACGGAGCGUCAUAGAGGGUGAGAAUCCCGUCUUUGACACGGACUACCAGGGCUUAUGUGAUGCGCUCUCAAAGAGUCGAGUUGUUUGGGAAUGCAGCUCUAAAUGGGUGGUAAAUUCCAUCUAAAGCUAAAUAUUGGCGAGAGACCGAUAGCGAACAAGUACCGUGAGGGAAAGAUGAAAAGAACUUUGGAAAGAGAGUUAAACAGUACGUGAAAUUGUUGAAAGGGAAACGCUUGAAGUCAGUCGCAUUGGCCAGGGAUCAACCUUGCUUUUGCUUGGUGUAUUUUCUGGUUAAUGGGUCAGCAUCAAUUUUGAUCGGUGGAAAAAGAUCAAGGGAAUGUGGCAUCUUCGGAUGUGUUAUAGCCUUUGGUUGUAUACAUCGGUUGGGAUUGAGGAACUCAGCACGCCGCAAGGCCGGGUUUUUAACCACGUACGUGCUUAGGAUGCUGGCAUAAUGGCUUUAAUCGACCCGUCUUGAAACACGGACCAAGGAGUCUAACAUGCACGCGAGUGUUUGGGUGGAAAACCCGAGCGCGUAAUGAAAGUGAAAAUUGAGAUCCCUGUCGUGGGGAGCAUCGAUGCCCGGACCAGACCUUUUGUGACGGUUCCGCGGUUGAGCGUGUAUGCUGGGACCCGAAAGAUGGUGAACUAUGCCUGAAUAGGGUGAAGCCAGAGGAAACUCUGGUGGAGGCUCGUAGCGAUUCUGACGUGCAAAUCGAUCGUCAAAUUUGGGUAUAGGGGCGAAAG